rnacentral:rRNA from 1 species
UACGUAGGGUGCGAGCGUUGUUCGGAAUUACUGGGCGUAAAGCGCACGUAGGCGGCUUUGUAAGUUAGAGGUGAAAGCCCGGAGCUCAACUUCGGAAUUGCCUUUAAGACUGCAUCGCUUGAAUCAUGGAGAGGUCAGUGGAAUUCCGAGUGUAGAGGUGAAAUUCGUAGAUAUUCGGAAGAACACCAGUGGCGAAGGCGACUCGCUGGACAAGUAUUGACGCUGAGGUGCGAAAGCGUGGGGAGCAAACAGG